rnacentral:rRNA from 1 species
UACGGAGGGGGCUAGCGUUGUUCGGAAUUACUGGGCGUAAAGCGUACGUAGGCGGCUUUGUAAGUUAGAGGUGAAAGCCCAGAGCUCAACUCUGGAAUUGCCUUUAAGACUGCAUCGCUUGAAUCGUGGAGAGGUUAGUGGAAUUCCGAGUGUAGAGGUGAAAUUCGUAGAUAUUCGGAAGAACACCAGUGGCGAAGGCGACUAACUGGACACGUAUUGACGCUGAGGCACGAAAGCGUGGGGAGCAAACAGG